rnacentral:rRNA from 1 species
AUUGAACGCUGGCGGCAUGCCUUACACAUGCAAGUCGAACGGUAACAGGUUAAGCUGACGAGUGGCGAACGGGUGAGUAAUGUAUCGGAACGUGCCCAGUCGUGGGGGAUAACUGCUCGAAAGAGCAGCUAAUACCGCAUACGACCUGAGGGUGAAAGCGGGGGAUCGCAAGACCUCGCGCGAUUGGAGCGGCCGAUAUCAGAUUAGGCAGUUGGUGGGGUAAAGGCCUACCAAGCCGACGAUCUGUAGCUGGUCUGAGAGGACGACCAGCCACACUGGGACUGAGACACGGCCCAGACUCCUACGGGAGGCAGCAGUGGGGAAUUUUGGACAAUGGACGCAAGUCUGAUCCAGCCAUGCCGCGUGCGGGAAGAAGGCCUUCGGGUUGUAAACCGCUUUUGUCAGGGAAGAAACGCUCUGGGUUAAUACCUCGGGGUAAUGACGGUACCUGAAGAAUAAGCACCGGCUAACUACGUGCCAGCCGCCGCAGUAAAAC